GAUGAACGCUAGCUACAGGCUUAACACAUGCAAGUCGAGGGGAAACGAUGAGAGAGCUUGCUCUCUUAGUCGUCGACCGGCGCACGGGUGAGUAACGCGUAUCCAACCUGCCUCUGACCAAGGGAUAACCCGUCGAAAGUCGGACUAAUACCUUAUGCAGUCGUCGGAAGUCAUCUGAUGACGACGAAAGAUUUCAUCGGUGAGAGAUGGGGAUGCGUCUGAUUAGCUUGUUGGCGGGGUAACGGCCCACCAAGGCGACGAUCAGUAGGGGUUCUGAGAGGAAGGUCCCCCACAUUGGAACUGAGACACGGUCCAAACUCCUACGGGAGGCAGCAGUGAGGAAUAUUGGGCAAUGGGCGUAAGCCUGAACCAGCCAAGUAGCGUGCAGGAUGACGGCGCUAUGGGUUGUAAACUGCUUUUAUGGGGGGAUAAAGUGAGGGACGUGUCCUUCAUUGCAGGUACCGCAUGAAUAAGGACCGGCUAAUUCCGUG
rnacentral:rRNA from 1 species